AACGAACGCUGGCGGCAGGCUUAACACAUGCAAGUCGAACGCCCCGCAAGGGGAGUGGCAGACGGGUGAGUAACACGUGGGAACGUGCCCUAAGGUUUGGAAUAUUCCCGGGAAACUGGGAGCAAUACCAAAUGUGUCCGUAAGGAGAAAGAUUUAUCGCCUUAGGAUCGGCCCGCGUCAGAUUAGGUAGUUGGUGGGGUAAUGGCCUACCAAGCCGACGAUCUGUAGCUGGUCUGAGAGGACGACCAGCCACACUGGGACUGAGACACGGCCCAGACUCCUACGGGAGGCAGCAGUGGGGAAUCUUGGACAAUGGGCGCAAGCCUGAUCCAGCCAUGCCGCGUGGAUGAUGAAGGCCCUAGGGUUGUAAAAUCCUUUCGUUGGGGACGAUAAUGACGGUACCCAAAGAAGAAGCUCCGGCUAACUUCGUGCCAGCCGCCGCCGUAAUAC
rnacentral:rRNA from 1 species